rnacentral:tRNA from 1 species
UGACGGUGAGCAUAUAAGGACAUGCGGGGGCCUGUUAAGUCCAGGAUAACUGGUUCGAAUCCAGUACCGUCAGCCA